AGUGAACGCUGGCGAUAGGCCUAACACAUGCAAGUCGAACGGCAGCACAGUAAGAGCUUGCUCUUACGGGUGGCGAGUGGCGGGCGGGUGAGGAAUACAUCGGAAUCUACUUUUUCGUGGGGGAUAACGUAGGGAAACUUACGCUAAUACCGCAUACGACCUACGGGUGAAAGCAGGGGAUCUUCGGACCUUGCGCGAUUGAAUGAGCCGAUGUCGGAUUAGCUAGUUGGCGGGGUAAAGGCCCACCAAGGCGACGAUCCGUAGCUGGUCUGAGAGGAUGAUCAGCCACACUGGACCUGAGACACGGUCCAGACUCCUACGGGAGGCAGCAGUGGGGACUAUUGGACAAUGGGCGCAAGCCUGAUCCAGCCAUACCGCGUGGGUGAAGAAGGCCUUCGGGUUGUAAAGCCCUUUUGUUGGGAAAGAAAAGCAGCAGGUUAAUACCCCGCUGUUCUGACGGUACCCAAAGAAUAAGCACCGGCUAACUUCGU
rnacentral:rRNA from 1 species